rnacentral:rRNA from 1 species
AGUCGAGCGAUGGAUUAAGAGCUUGCUCUUAUGAAGUUAGCGGCGGACGGGUGAGUAACACGUGGGUAACCUACCCAUAAGACUGGGAUAACUCCGGGAAACCGGGGCUAAUACCGGAUAAUAUUUUGAACUGCAUAGUUCGAAAUUGAAAGGCGGCUUCGGCUGUCACUUAUGGAUGGACCCGCGUCGCAUUAGCUAGUUGGUGAGGUAACGGCUCACCAAGGCGACGAUGCGUAGCCGACCUGAGAGGGUGAUCGGCCACACUGGGACUGAGACACGGCCCAGACUCCUACGGGAGGCAGCAGUAGGGAAUCUUCCGCAAUGGACGAAAGUCUGACGGAGCAACGCCGCGUGAGUGAUGAAGGCUUUCGGGUCGUAAAACUCUGUUGUUAGGGAAGAACAAGUGCUAGUUGAAUAAGCUGGCACCUUGACGGUACCUAACCAGAAAGCCACGGCUAACUACGUGCCAGCAGCCGCGGUAAUACGUAGGUGGCAAGCGUUAUCCGGAAUUAUUGGGCGUAAAGCGCGCGCAGGUGGUUUCUUAAGUCUGAUGUGAAAGCCCACGGCUCAACCGUGGAGGGUCAUUGGAAACUGGGAGACUUGAGUGCAGAAGAGGAAAGUGGAAUUCCAUGUGUAGCGGUGAAAUGCGUAGAGAUAUGGAGGAACACCAGUGGCGAAGGCGACUUUCUGGUCUGUAACUGACACUGAGGCGCGAAAGCGUGGGGAG